rfam:Ipomoea nil DNA, scaffold: scaffold0878, cultivar: Tokyo-kokei standard.
GACUUUGUGUUCCAAUGGAUAAGGUGUUGGUCUAUGAAACUAGAGAUUUUGGGUUCGAUCCCCAGCGGAGUUG